rnacentral:lncRNA from 1 species
GGCCCCGUGGCUAGAGAUGGACUCCAGAUUCACACCCAGGCUGUAUGUCUGCACAACUUGGACUGCACAACCCAGCACAGAGAACACUCGACCCCCGCUCACGCAACACAGCAGGAUCCCGAGCUUGGAACCCAGGUGUUCACAAAGGGGUCCCGACUCUGGAACCCAGGCCUCCACAGCAGGAUCCCGACCCUGGAACCCAGGCGUCCACAGCAGGAUCCCGAGUUUGGAACCCAGGCGUUCACAGCAGGAUCCCGACCCUGGAACCCAGGCGUCCACAGCAGGAUCCCGAGUUUGGAACCCAGGUGUCCACAGCAGGAUCCCGAGCUUGGAACCCAGGCAUUCUAGUAUCCAGCCUCCAAGUCUUGGUCCUACCCUGGUGGUUUACAGAAGCCGAGAAGCUGACAGCUUUACUCACCCAUGACAAAAUAAGAAAAGCACAGGGCAAUGUAGGAAGUUUUUCAUAAAGUUAAAUCCCUUUAAUUUAAAAAAAAAACAGCUUUUUUGGUUGACUUUUCCCCUCUCUUUUCUAAAAUAAGGGUGAUCUUAUCCAGUGGUUCUUAUUUUAUAUUCUUAAUUUAGCAAGAUAAAAAUGUGAGCAGCUGCACGCCAGCCCCCAAACUCUAGGGGAGGUUUUUCUGGUUCAGACUGUCUCAGGUUCGAGCCUCCUUAGGGCACCCCCUUUCCGUCCACCUUAGCCUGGAACUGAGACUUCUUUUUCUUUUGUAUCUGUCCUUCUCAGAUCUCAUAUUUGUAUUUUCCAAAACAAUCUAGUUGAAGAAAUCCUAUUUGGUAUGUUUGAAAUCUUUAUGCUCCCAGCUCAAACUCUGGAUUAACAACAAAACAGAGGAAAACUCUUUUUCUUAUUCAGCAGUCAAACUUCAAGGCAACUUCAGCCCUGGGAACUCAGCCAGUUGCUGGGAAGUAAAGGAAUCAAAGGCUUCUAAACAGUAAAAAAUGUCUUUAGAGCUCGGCUCAGAGGGAGCUUUGGCCUUCCUGCAAAUUAAGAAUAAUGAUUUGGUGAGCUUGUUUAUCUCCCCUCCACCAGCAAGGCUUGGUCUCCCCAGGGGUAACCGGCUGCAGAUUCAAGAGGAAGCUGGGAGGGCUGUCUGGGGCUGGAGAAGGAGGCAGCUCCAACACGCCGCGGUCAGGCAGUGUGGGGACAAAGAGGUCUCCUUACUUCCACAGCACCGAGUCAUCGAAGUUUACAAGACACUUCUACGUUGAUCUGGAAAAAGGAGGUGUUCCUAGUACAUCUUAGAAAGAUUUCCAUAAAACGGGCUAAAAAGCAAUCAUAAAACCACAACAAAACACAAACAGGCAAGGGAAAGGAUAAACUUCCAUCACCUGGAAGCCUCAGAGACAGGAGAGGGUACACAGGUGAGAGCCUUGGCUGGGUGGGAGGUAGGAGUCAGACCGGACCCUCUGCAGAAUUAGCAGUGGUGUGCGCUCACCUCUGGAGCUGCUCCUCUGAGAUGGGCCUGGCCCCCUAGAUAAU